GGGUUGUGAGGUUAAGCGACUAAGCGUACACGGUGGAUGCCCUGGCAGUCAGAGGCGAUGAAGGACGUGCUAAUCUGCGAUAAGCGUCGGUAAGGUGAUAUGAACCGUUAUAACCGGCGAUUUCCGAAUGGGGAAACCCAGUGUGAUUCGUCACACUAUCAUUACGUGAAUACAUAGCGUAAUGAAGCGAACCGGGGGAACUGAAACAUCUAAGUACCCCGAGGAAAAGAAAUCAACCGAGAUUCCCCCAGUAGCGGCGAGCGAACGGGGAGCAGCCCAGAGUCUGAAUCAGCAUGUGUGUUAGUGGAAGCGUCUGGAAAGU
rnacentral:rRNA from 1 species